rnacentral:rRNA from 1 species
AUGUGGUUAAUUCGAUGAUACGCGAGGAACCUUACCUGGGCUCGAACGUAAGAUGACUGUAAGUGAAAGCUUACAUCUCUUCGGAGCAUUUUACGAGGUGCUGCAUGGUUGUCGUCAGCUCGUGCCGUGAGGUGUCGGGUUAAGUCCCAUAACGAGCGCAACCCCUACCUUUAGUUGCCAUCAGGUUAAGCUGGGGACUCUAAAGGAACUGCCUACGCAAGUAGUGAGGAAGGCGGGGAUGACGUCAAAUCAGCACGGCCCUUACGUCCAGGGCUACACACGUGCUACAAUGGCCGAUACAGAGGGCAGCUACCUGGUGACAGGAUGCAAAUCUCCAAAGUCGGUCUCAGUUCGGAUCGGAGUCUGCAACCCGACUCCGUGAAGUUGGAUUCGCUAGUAAUCGCGCAUCAGCCAUGGCGCGGUGAAUACGUUCCCGGGCCUU